UACGGGGGGUGCAACCGUUGCUCGGAAUUAUUGGGCGUAAAGCGCACGUAGGCGGUCCUCUAAGUCGGGUGUGAAAGCCCCAGGCUUAACCUGGGAAGUGCACUCGAAACUGGAGGGCUUGAGUACGGAAGAGGGUCUCGGAAUUCCCGGUGUAGAGGUGAAAUUCGUAGAUAUCGGGAGGAACACCAGUGGCGAAGGCGGAGACCUGGGCCGAUACUGACGCUGAGGUGCGAAAGCGUGGGGAGCAAACAGG
rnacentral:rRNA from 1 species